GGAAUAACAAACCUCAACAGCAGAGCAACUUAUAAUAGAUGGCUCAAGUCUUAUACCGAAAGAGAGAAGGAAAGUCUUCAACCUGGCUAUGCUGUUCAGAUGAGAGAAACCUGCUGCUGUGACUCUACACUGCCAAUGCAGUAUCCAUCCAGGUGGAGAGAUAUUCCUAUACCUAGGUAAAGGUUUUGCUGCUCUUCAUCCCAAACUUUCCAGGAAAUGAAACGUACAUACUUCACAAACUAUAAUUUGUGCACCUACACAAUCCUUAUUGUCCU